rnacentral:rRNA from 1 species
AUGGAGGAUGCAAGCGUUAUCCGGAUUCAUUGGGUUUAAAGGGGGCGCAGGCGAAAUGAUAAGUCAGUGGUGAAAUCCUACGGCUCAAAUGUAGAACUGCUAUUGAUACUGUCGUUCUUGAGUACACUUGGAGUGGGCGGAAUGUGUCAUGUAGCGGUGAAAAGCUUAGAUAUGACACAGAACACCGAUCGCGAAGGCAGCUCACUAAAUUGUAACUGACGCUCAGGCGCGAAAGCGUGUUGAUCAAACAG